UCAUCACCAGGAGUUAACUGAUCGCUGACAAACUCCCUCUGAGGCUGAGGAGAAGACAUCUUUACUGCAGACACUCACAUAUUCAGCUCACAGAGAAAACCCGUCUCCAAAAUGACAAAAGAAAACCCGGCUGCUAACGAGUCUUCAUCACUGCUUCCUUCCUGAUCCUGGAUCUCAACUUCAGGAGUGUCCUGAGAGAUGACUUGGUUCCAAUUUGAUUCUGGUUCAAUGUAGUAUUUUUCCUCAUAACUAGGAGUCACCAUAAAGCUCACCCUGCUCCUCUUUGAUCUGUAAGCGAUCUGGGUCCUCCUGGUCCAGUAUGAAGUUCCUCUCCUGGUGCCAGAACUGCUCGUCAUCAAGAGCCUCCUCCUUCUCAACAUCAUGC